rnacentral:rRNA from 1 species
GAGUCUCGUUGGUGACCAGCGGAGGGUCAUUACCGAGUUUACAACUCCCAAACCCAAUGUGAACCAUACCAAACUGUUGCCUCGGCGGGGUCACGCCCCGGGUGCGUCGCAGCCCCGGAACCAGGCGCCCGCCGGAGGGACCAACCAAACUCUUUUCUGUAGUCCCCUCGCGGACGUUAUUUCUUACAGCUCUGAGCAAAAAUUCAAAAUGAAUCAAAACUUUCAACAACGGAUCUCUUGGUUCUGGCAUCGAUGAAGAACGCAGCGAAAUGCGAUAAGUAAUGUGAAUUGCAGAAUUCAGUGAAUCAUCGAAUCUUUGAACGCACAUUGCGCCCGCCAGUAUUCUGGCGGGCAUGCCUGUCCGAGCGUCAUUUCAACCCUCGAACCCCUCCGGGGGGUCGGCGUUGGGGACCUCGGGAGCCCCUAAGACGGGAUCCCGGCCCCGAAAUACAGUGGCGGUCUCGCCGCAGCCUCUCCUGCGCAGUAGUUUGCACAACUCGCACCGGGAGCGCGGCGCGUCCACGUCCGUAAAACACCCAACUUCUGAAAUGUUGACCUCGGAUCAGGUAGGAAUACCCGCUGAACUUAAGCAUACUAA